rnacentral:rRNA from 1 species
AUUGAACGCUGGCGGCAUGCUUUACACAUGCAAGUCGAACGGCAGCGCGGGCUUCGGCCUGGCGGCGAGUGGCGAACGGGUGAGUAAUGCAUCGGAACGUGCCCAGUAGUGGGGGAUAGCCCGGCGAAAGCCGGAUUAAUACCGCAUACGACCUGAGGGUGAAAGCGGGGGACCGAAAGGCCUCGCGCUCUUGGAGCGGCCGAUGUCGGAUUAGCUAGUUGGUGGGGUAAAGGCUUACCAAGGCGACGAUCCGUAGCUGGUCUGAGAGGACGACCAGCCACACUGGGAAUGAGACACGGCCCAGACGCCGACGGGAGGCAGCAGUGGGGAAUUUUGGACAAGGGGGGCAACCCUGAUCCAGCCAUGCCGCGUGCGGGAAGAAGGCCUUCGGGUUGUAAACCGCUUUUGUUCGGGAAGAAAUCCUCUGGGCUAAUACCCCGGGGGGAUGACGGUACCGGAAGAAUAAGCACCGGCUAACUACGU